AUUGAACGCUGGCGGCAUGCUUUACACAUGCAAGUCGAACGGCAGCGCGGGCUUCGGCCUGGCGGCGAGUGGCGAACGGGUGAGUAAUAUAUCGGAACGUACCCAGAAGUGGGGGAUAACGUAGCGAAAGUUACGCUAAUACCGCAUACGAUCCAAGGAUGAAAGUGGGGGACCUUCGGGCCUCAUGCUUUUGGAGCGGCCGAUAUCUGAUUAGCUAGUUGGUGAGGUAAAGGCUCACCAAGGCGACGAUCAGUAGCUGGUCUGAGAGGACGACCAGCCACACUGAGACUGAGACACGGCCCAGACUCCUACGGGAGGCAGCAGUGGGGAAUUUUGGACAAUGGGGGCAACCCUGAUCCAGCAAUGCCGCGUGAGUGAAGAAGGCCUUCGGGUUGUAAAGCUCUUUUGUCAGGGAAGAAACGGUUCCAGCUAAUAUCUGGAGCUAAUGACGGUACCUGAAGAAUAAGCACCGGCUAACUACGUGCCAGCCGCCGCCGUAACAC
rnacentral:rRNA from 1 species